rnacentral:rRNA from 1 species
CGGACGGGUGAGUACCACGUGGGUGAUCUGCCUUUCGGUGAGGAAUACCGGCGAGAAAUCGCCGACAAUACCGCAUACGCUUGGGAAACCAAGCAAAGUCGCAAGACGCCGGAGGAGGAGCCUGUGCCCGAUUAGCUAGCUGGUGGAGUAACGGUUUACCAGGGCGACGAUCGGUAGCUGGUCUGAGAGGAUGAUCAGCCACACUGGGAUUGAGAACGGCCCAG